AAAGAAUUAGUUAAAGUAUAAUUUGAGUUUGUCGAACUCAGGUUGCCUGGUAAUGGCAUUCUUUU
rnacentral:tRNA from 1 species